rnacentral:rRNA from 1 species
CAGUCGAGCGGAACGAUGGAGCUUGCUCCAGGCGUCGAGCGGCGGACGGGUGAGUAAUGCAUAGGAAUCUGCCCGGUAGUGGGGGAUAACCUGGGGAAACCCAGGCUAAUACCGCAUACGUCCUACGGGAGAAAGCAGGGGAUCCGUGUUCUUCGGAAUGGGGACCUUGCGCUAUCGGAUGAGCCUAUGUCGGAUUAGCUUGUUGGUGAGGUAAUGGCUCACCAAGGCGACGAUCCGUAGCUGGUCUGAGAGGAUGAUCAGCCACAUCGGGACUGAGACACGGCCCGAACUCCUACGGGAGGCAGCAGUGGGGAAUAUUGGACAAUGGGCGAAAGCCUGAUCCAGCCAUGCCGCGUGUGUGAAGAAGGCUUUCGGGUUGUAAAGCACUUUCAGUGAGGAAGAACGCCUCGGGGCCAAUACCCCCGAGGAAAGACAUCACUCACAGAAGAAGCACCGGCUAACUCCGUGCCAGCAGCCGCGGUAAUACGGAGGGUGCAAGCGUUAAUCGGAAUUACUGGGCGUAAAGCGCGCGUAGGUGGCUUGAUAAGCCGGUUGUGAAAGCCCCGGGCUCAACCUGGGAACGGCAUCCGGAACUGUCAGGCUAGAGUGCAGGAGAGGAAGGUAGAAUUCCCGGUGUAGCGGUGAAAUGCGUAGAGAUCGGGAGGAAUACCAGUGGCGAAGGCGGCCUUCUGGACUGACACUGACACUGAGGUGCGAAAGCGUGGGUAGCAAACAGGAUUAGAUACCCUGGUAGUCCACGCCGUAAACGAUGUCGACUAGCCGUUGGGGUC